GGCGAACGGGUGAGUAAUGCUUCGGAAUCUGCCCUUUAGUGGGGAAUAACCAGUCGAAAGACUGGCUAAUACCGCAUACGACCUACGGGUGAAAGCAGGGGAUCGCAAGACCUUGCGCUAAUGGAUGAGCCGAAGUCGGAUUAGCUAGUUGGUGAGGUAACGGCUCACCAAGGCGACGAUCCGUAGCUGGUCUGAGAGGACGACCAGCCACACUGGGACUGAGACACGGCCCAGACUCCUACGGGAGGCAGCAGUGGGGAAUAUUGGACAAUGGGGGAAACCCUGAUCCAGCGACGCCGCGUGUGUGAAGAAGGCCUGCGGGUUGUAAAGCACUUUUAGUGGGGAGGAAAACCCCUGACCUAACACGUCAGGAAUUGACUUAACCCAAAGAAAAAGCACCGGCUAACUCUGUGCCAGCAGCCGCGGUAAUACAGAGGGUGCAAGCGUUAAUCGGAAUUACUGGGCGUAAAGCGUGCGUAGACGGUUAUCUAAGUCGGAUGUGAAAUCCCCGGGCUCAACCUGGGAAUUGCAUUCGAGACUGAAUAGCUAGGGUGCGGAAGAGGGAAGCGGAAUUUCCGGUGUAGCGGUGAAAUGCGUAGAUAUCGGAAGGAACAUCAGUGGCGAAAGCGGCUUCCUGGUCCAGCACCGACGUUCAGGCACGAAAGCGUGGGGAGCAAACAGGAUU
rnacentral:rRNA from 1 species